GACGGACGCUGGCGGCGUGCUUAACACAUGCAAGUCGAACGAUGAACCCGGAGCUUGCUCCGGCGGAUUAGUGGCGAACGGGUGAGUAACACGUGAGUAACCUGCCCUUGACUCUGGGAUAACUGCUAGAAAUGGUAGCUAAUACCGGAUACGACCCUCGGUGGCAUCACCAGGGGGUGGAAAGAAUUUCGGUCAAGGAUGGACUCGCGGCCUAUCAGCUAGUUGGUGAGGUAACGGCUCACCAAGGCGACGACGGGUAGCCGGCCUGAGAGGGUGACCGGCCACACUGGGACUGAGACACGGCCCAGACUCCUACGGGAGGCAGCAGUGGGGAAUAUUGCACAAUGGGCCCAAGCCUGAUGCAGCAACGCCGCGUGAGGGAUGACGGCCUUCGGGUUGUAAACCUCUUUUAGUAGGGAAGAAGCGAAAGUGACGGUACCUGCAGAAAAAGCACCGGCUAACUACGUGCCAGCCGCCGCGGUAA
rnacentral:rRNA from 1 species